UCAAGUGAUCCUUCCUUCUCGGCUUCCCAAAGUGCUGGGAUCUUAUUUCAUCUUUAAAAAUAAUCUAAGUAACACCCAAUUAACAGGAUGUGUUUUACCGGUUGGAGAAAGUGUUUCUGUCACUGAAUUGGGCAAAGGCCACCUCUGCAAGGCAGUCCCUCCUUCAUUGUCCACGUGAGCAGAGAUACAGAAGGCGGGGUAUGGACCCAACAGCCCGGUGUCCCCCACCUCCUCUGGGGCCCCCACCACGCAGUUCCAGAAGCCGUCUCCAUGGCCUGCUUGUUUAAGGGAGGUGUGAAGAUGUUCCAGCGGCUUGGUUGUGGCAUAUGCACACUGUCAGAAGCCAUCCUAAGGAUGUUCCUGCACUUUGAUGGGAGCCAGGGAGCCAGCUGUCAUUGGAGGGAUGUGUGGCAGGAGUCACUGUGUAGAUCAUAAUCUUACUGGUAGAGCAGGAGCUUCUGGACUCUCACAUGUGCCAUUCUUAGCACAGUUGCAAACAAGACCUUGGCUUUCUUCUAUCCUUGAUAUUUCCUUUCCCGCCUCCACAAAAAAAUUGCAAACCAAGCCAUGGUGGCCAAGUUAAUAUGGCAGGAAAUACAGUGCCUACAAAUGUGGCUUCCAAGUGCUUACAGCCAUGCAGGAGGAUGUGAAAACAAGUGCCUCAUUAAUGUGCAAUUGAAACAUCAGCAGCCAGACCGGGAGACCCAUUAAGAAGCCAUUUUGCAGGCACUCUGAAAGCUUCAUCUAAACACCUAUGGGGAGAAACCAGCCAUGGUGAGGACUCCCCAAGGCCACCCAGGGAAACUUCAUUCAGAGAAAACAGGAGACAUUCCGAGUGUUGGACUGGAACAAUAAACUUCUCAACGUCAAAGAAGCCCUGCUUCUCUUUGUACUCACCAUGGGCUUGGGAGAGCCCUCCAUCCCUCACCC